GCCCGGAUAGCUCAGUGGUAGAGCAGUGGAUUGAAGAUCCUCGUGUCACCAGUUCGACUCUGGUUCUGGGCA
rnacentral:tRNA from 1 species